rnacentral:tRNA from 1 species
GCUCCCGUAGCUCAAUGGAUAGAGUAGGACUUUGCGGAAGUUCAGAUGACCGUCCGAUUCGGUCCGGGAGCA